rnacentral:lncRNA from 1 species
UUUUUUUUUUUUUUUUGUUCCUUCCGAAUUUAAUGUUCAGUUUUUAGUAAUUUGGAACUGGUUACUUUAUUUUUAUGAUGCAUAAUUAUUCUGUGAUCAAUUACUAUUUAAAUAUUUGGAUUUAUUUAAAAAUUAAAUACACAAUGGCGCCAAACGUACUAUUUCUACUGUGGGUGCUACAACUUCACUAGUAGACAUCAUUAGAUUCUGUAAACAGUUAGGUGAAUCCAUGUUCUAU